UACAAAGCCCAUUUGAAUCAAUGAGAUCUUUUUCAUUUACUUAAAUGACUUGUAUCAAUGCCUAAUUAAGAGUAGAAAUUGAAGGAAAAGGUGGAUUAUUUUUGCUUCCUAUAUACUGAUAUUUAAGAAUACAUGUGGAAAAAAAACUUGUCAGACAUGAGGCUCUGAUAUUCUGGGGCAUGGAAGAUGAAUGGCUCCUAUACUAUUAGCUGAUUGAGAUGUUUUCAGUUGUUUGCAGCUAUGAAAAUGGAAUGUAUCAGGGGCUUCUAUAGUUGGAGUUAUGGUACACAGGAAUCCAGUGUGGCAAAUGGAAAGCAAAAAUCUUUGAAGACUUAUCAACUAGCAACAAUUGCUUUAAGUAUUCCAUCUGUGCAAAAGAAUUCUGGCAUCUUUGAAUCUGCCCAAUAAAAA